GACGAACGCUGGCGGCGUGCUUAACACAUGCAAGUCGAACGAGUGGCGAACGGGUGAGUAAUACGUGAGUAACCUGCCUUUUUUUUGGGAUAAGCCUUGGAAACGGGGUCUAAUACCGAAUAAAGGGGGAUGGGCUCGCGGCCUAUCAGCUUGUUGGUGGGGUGAUGGCCUACCAAGGCGGUGACGGGUAGCCGGCCUGAGAGGGUGAACGGCCAAAGGUGAACGAAGAAACGGCCCAGAAAAGAACGGGAGGCAGCAGUGGUGGAUAUUGCACAAUGAGGGAAAGCCUGAUGAAGCGACGCCGCGUGGGGGAUGAAGGCUUUCGGGUUGUAAACCUCAUUCGCAGUCGAACGGGUAAAUGGAGAAGAAGCGCCGGCUAACUACGUGCCAGCAGCCGCGGUAAUUC
rnacentral:rRNA from 1 species